GACGUAGGGUGCGAGCGUUGUCCGGAUUUAUUGGGCGUAAAGAGCUCGUAGGCGGCUCGUCGCGUCGACCGUGAAAACCCGCGGCUUAACUGCGGGCUUGCGGUUGAUACGGGCGGGCUAGAGUUCGGUAGGGGAGACUGGAAUUCCUGGUGUAGCGGUGAAAUGCGCAGAUAUCAGGAGGAACACCGGUGGCGAAGGCGGGUCUCUGGGCCGAUAUUGACGCUGAGGAGCGAAAGCGUGGGGAGCGAACAGG
rnacentral:rRNA from 1 species